UUGAUAUAAUAUACUAUAAUUUCCCCUUCACUUGUCCAUUUGAAACUAAUUAAAUUCAUACCAGUGCACAUGUUUUUCUAAAAAGCACAAGUUAACAUAAAAAAUAUUUAAAAACGAAUCUUAAAAUCCUAACAAUAGGAUAUUACUUAACCUAAAAGGCACUUAACUGAAAAAUGGUAUAGAUCCAAAGGUAACAACUAUUAAACAACAUUUAUUUGAAUCAAAUUACUUUAAGAAUAAAUCAAUUUCAUAUAAUAUAUAAGGGCGAAGCAAUAAUCAUCUUUGAUUAUACAUCAAACUAAAAACUUUUUAAAGUGGACAAAUAUCUAUGGCUUGCAAAUGUAUUAGAAAACUUAUGCUGGUGAUUAUGGAGUUGCUUAUCCUUAUUCUCCUAAAAGUGCAAGCUAAUGACCUUGCCCAAAUCUCUUUCCAUUCCUCAUCACCUUCUGCACUGCUUUCUUAUUUCCGUAAACUUGAUAAAGUUCAAACUAAGGACAUUUCCCCUACAUCUUUUUGUCCCUCUCCACUGCCUAUCAUGUAUCCUCACUGCUUUGAACUUGAUGAAAUUCAAGGAACAAUACAUACAUGCGUUACUGAUGAUGAAAUUAAAUUUUGUGAAAUAAAAUGGCCACAUCGGAGGAUUGGUUUUCAAUUUUGUAUUAUUUCGGCUUAUACAAAAUGUUGGUUGAGUCACCAUGUUGAACAAAAGAUGACUACUGAGCAUAUAUUGUGUGUACAUGAUUGUGUAAAACAUCGAAGUGAUAUUGGGACCUGUUGCAACGAAUGUAAUGAAAGGCAUUCAAAGACGCACUCAGAUGUCGUCUAUACACAAUAUCCCAAGCAUAAGAUAUGAUUCAUAUGGAGGCUUCUCAAGAAAUGUGCAAGAACAUAUCAGUUCUCAAUUGUCCCUCGUUUUAAAUAAUAUUGUUUUGAGUUGUGGAAUACUAUUACAAGAAGAUGCUAUACUAUCUCAUUUGAUAUCGUCGUGUUUUUGAGUUUUUAAAUUGGACCAUUGUGCACCCAAAACUACAUAAUUUGGUAGUUCAAUUAUAUAUGGGAUUUGUUGGUCUUGUUUUA